AUCGAACGCUGGCGGCAGGCCUAACACAUGCAAGUCGAGCGAGCGGCGGACGGGUGAGUAAUGUAUGGGGACUGCCCGAUAGAGGGGGAUAACUACUGGAAACGGUAUCUAAUACCGCAUACUAUCGGAUAACCCAUAUGGGAUUAGCUAGUAGGUGAGUUAAUGGCGCACCUAGGCGACGAACCCCAGCUCGCCUGAGAGGAUGAUCAGCAACACGGGGACUGAGACACGGCCCAGACUCCUACGGAGGCAGCAGUGGGGAAUAUUGCACAAUGGACGAAAGCCGGAUUGAGCCAUGCCGCGUGUAUGAAGAAGGCCCUAGGGUUGUAAAGUACUUGCAGUCGGGAGGCGUUACCUACAGAAGAAGCAACGGCUAACUCCGUGCCAGCAGCCGCGGUAAUUC
rnacentral:rRNA from 1 species